GUAGGUGGCAAGCGUUGUCCGGAAUUAUUGGGCGUAAAGCGCGCGCAGGCGGUUUUUUAAGUCUGAUGUGAAAGCCCACGGCUCAACCGUGGAGGGUCAUUGGAAACUGGAGAACUUGAGUACAGAAGAGGAAAGCGGAAUUCCACGUGUAGCGAUGAAAUGCGUAGAGAUGUGGAGGAACACCAGUGGCGAAGGCGGCUUUUCUGGUCUGUAACUGACGCUGAGGCGCGAAAGCGUGGGGAGCAAACAGGGAUUAGAUACCCUGGUAGUCCACGCCGUAAACGAUGAGUGCUAAGUGUUAGGGGGUUUCCGCCCCCUUAGUGCUGCAGCUAACGCAUUAAGCACUCCGCCUGGGGAGUACGGCCGCAAGGCUG
rnacentral:rRNA from 1 species